UUCGUUUCCGCACCAGCCCCGCGGCUCAGAGUUUCCGGCUGCGGGUAGCGUAGGGGACUAGAGAUGCGUAGUUACUACCCCCUGCAGGAUGUGGGGAGAUGCCCACUCCCACGUUUCCCUCACUCACUCCCAGCCUAGCUUUGUGCUUUGACUUAACCUAAGUGAUGAGAUCGAUUAGGAAAGGAAUUGGAGACAAAACCAAGACACUAGCGUUUUCUGAGGUGUCCACAGGGUCGGUUUCUCUGAGCCCUCUCCUGGGCUUGCCUACGGCUGACUUCUCACUGUGGACUUUCCUCUGUGCCUGUGCACUCCUGGUGUCUCUUUCCUCUUCUUAUAAGGACACCAUUCCUAUCCUUGAGGAUAACACCCUUAUGACCUUAUUUAACCUUAAUCACCUCCUUAAGUGCUCUGUCUCCAAAUACAGCCACACUGGGGGUUAGGGCUUCCAGUGCAUGGGUUUUGCGAGGGGCACACAAUUCAGCCCAGAACAGUUGGGAACUAUCUUGUCACUAUCUGUGUUUUCCCAUAGCACCUAGCACAGCGCCUUGCAAAAUGGUAAAUCUAGGUUUUUGUUAACAAAGUGAUAGAACACCUGAUGGGAACUGGGAGAGGAGUUAUAAAGUCAUUUAAAUCUAUUGUCUUAGCUCAUCUUUGUUUAUAAAAUUUCUGAGCUCUAUUCUGGAAGGUCCUAGUUCCUGCUUGGAACUUCAGUCUCCAGGACAAUGGCACAGAGGUGUCACAGUGGAUGUAGGAUCAUUGGAUGAUCACAGCAUGGCUUGGGGGCCUCCGUGGCUAUUCAUCUUGGUGAGCAGAGAUUGCAUUGCCACUUUGAAUGAUUGGACUAGAACAUCUGUCUUGGCAUCCUGUUCCCUUCAGAACCCACGCUGGAUUCUUUUUGGCUCAUAUGGCCAGUGGCUGCCAUAUUGAAGAGUGCAGCUCUUUUCUCCUCCUUGGGACAGAUGUGGCUGAAGGUAGGCAUUUCCAUGAUACCUCUGGAUCCUUAGCUGUACCCUCUCUUCCUGGGAAGCUGGAAGCAUGUACAUCAUCUACACAAAGUAGAUUCAGUAGUCUGAGCCAGACUGUGUACUCAAGCCUGGGUCUGCUUUCACAGGUCCCCAACUCCAGAGGUGGUUGUGAGCAAGAAUUCUCUCUCAUUGGCUUAUUUCCUCUUGUCAGAGGCCUCGACUUCUUAAUUUUGUUCGGGGAAAUAGAGUUUGGCAGCCUUUCCUUCCAGCCAGUUCCUGCCGCUUGGUACACAAGUACCGAUACCGAAGCCAGUAUAUAAUCUAACACUCAUUAUUUUCCUGCUGCAAAGCUGAAGUUUCCUUUAUUUUAUGGGGUGCCACUCGCUUUCUUAUCAUUCCCAAUAGAACUUUGUUUUUAUGUGCUGGGUAAGAAAUCAUGGAACUGGUAAGGGCAAGAAAAUAAUCAAAUCAAGAGCUUUGAUUAACAUGAGAGGGUCUAACAGCAGCAGUUUACUCGUGAGAAGAGGUGUUGAAAUACUGGUAGGGGAGUUAGAAGGGACACAGAGAAGGGCAGACAGCUAAUAAAGCAGCUACCACGGAGAGUGAAUGUGUGUCAUCGCAUGGAAAGACUUUGAAAACAGUGUGAAACACAUGCUUCACAGAUGUUCCACCCUAGGGGAGAGGGAGACCUGGUAUUUGUCAAAAUCCCAUCAAGCGUGGUUGAGGGCUGCCCCCAGAGCAGUGGUCUUUCGUGGUUUUCAAAAAAGCCCGCAGCCCAAGAGACACAGAUGGUGCAAGUCGGAUGAAGUACACGGCAGGGGAAAGGCCGGGGGCAGGGGGCCAGGGCAGUAACAGCAUCUGCUCUGAACAUUGACUUUGAACUCUCAGUAGAACCUAGUAGCACACUAAUUUUAGUUUCUGGGUAAAUUUCGGUAAUUCUUAAUAUCUCAGUAGUACUAGUGGGUAGCCCUUACUUUAUUUUUAAAACGUCUAUAUAAUCUCAGGUGAUUUUUCAUUAUGAAACCAAGAAAGGCAUUCUUAAAUCGUUCACGAUCCAGAAGAUGGUCUCCAGCCUGGGGGACCACAGAGUAAAACUUCUAUGCCUUCCAUCUGCCUUGACUUAACUCGGGGAAAUGAAGGUAAAGGGGACCCAGGGAGACUGGACACAACAACCUAUGACAUUUCUAUUAAGUAACUUUUUUUUUAAAAUUUAAAUCCAGUUUUAUUGUUUUGUUUUUUGGCUGUGCUGCAGAGCAUGUGGGAUCUUACUUCCCUGACCAGGGACCGAGCCCAUGCCCCCUGUGUUGGAAGUGCAGAGUCCUAAUCACUGGACCGCCAGGGAAGUCCUCUAUUAAGUAAUUCUUGACUGUAGCAAGAAGGUUAGCUACGAAGAGAGGGUCCCCACAGAAAAACCAUUUCAGUUCCUGUUUAUUAAUUUUCAUAAAACAAUUGAGUUACACAUAUUUGCAAGAGUGGUUAAGUUCUGGUCUUUAAAUGGUAGCUUUUCUGGUUACUAUCACAUAGGUAUCUGCUCUCUGUGAGUACCCUGAUGCUUAAUAAAGCUUGUGCGCCAACUGAAAGAUUUUCCACAUUUGUCACAUCUGUAGGGUCUCUCUCCAGUAUGAAUGACCUCAUGUCGAUGAAGAUUUGCCUUAAAACUAAAAGUUUUCCCACAUUCGCUACAUUCAAAGAAUUCCUCCUUGGUAUGGAUUCUUUGAUGCUGAAUGAGAUCUACAUUCCGACCAAAGGAUUCACCACAUUCACUGCAUUUAUGAGUGUUCUGUUUAUUGUGAAUUUGUCGAUGGCUCAUAAGGGUUGAAUGCCGGCCAAAGGCUUUUCCACAUUCAAUGCAUUUAUGGGGUUUCUCUCCACUGUGGAUUAACUGAUGUCGAAUAAGGGUUGAAUUCUGACUAAAUGUUCUUUCACAUUCGCUACAUUUAUAGGGUUUUUCUUUGGUAUGGAUCCUCCUAUGUUCAACAAGAUACGCCAUCUGACGGAAACACUUUCCACAGUCAUGACAUUCAUAUGGCUUUUUUUGUGAGUGACACUGUUUGUGGACAAUCAGAGCAGACUUCUGUUUGAAGGCCUGCCCACAUAUGUCGCACUCAAAGGGAUCCUCUGAACUGUGAAUUCUUUGAUGUCGAACAAAAUUUGCUUGACGCUGGAAGGCUCUUCCACAUUCGCUGCAUUCAUAAGAUUUCGCAUUUGUAAGAAUUCGCUUAUGCCUCAAAAGCAGUGAUCUCUGAUGGAAGGGUUUUCCAUACUCAUCAUAUUUGCCCUGCUUUGUCCUUGCCUGAGCUUUCCGAUCUUGAAUAAGGUUAAGGUUUUGAAGGAAGUCCUUACAGCAUUCAUCACCAAUAGUAGGGAGUGAAAGUCGGUAAAUGUCCACAAAUUCGUUACAUUCAAGUAACUUUUCUAAGGGUUUCCUGGCCAUUUUCUGCUUUACCAGUGACAUCUUACAUGACUCUAAAUCUUCAGAAAUGUUCUGCUUUGGAGUUAGCUCUUUCAUCUUGAAUCUGGCUUCAGGACCUAGCCAAAAAAAAAAAAGAAA